rnacentral:rRNA from 1 species
GCUAACGUGAGAGGGUACAAUAUCCUCUGAAAGUGUGCGCACGGGUGAGUAAUACGUAGGUGACCUGCCCUGGAGUGGGGGAUAACAGCUAGAAAUGGCUGCUAAUACCGCAUACUGCUAGAAUGCUGGGAAGUAUUCUAGUAAAAACUCUGGUGCUUCAGGAGGGGCCUGCGGCCGAUUAGCUAGUUGGCGGGGUAAGAGCCCACCAAGGCAGUGAUCGGUAGCUGGUCUGAGAGGACGAUCAGCCACACGGGAACUGAGACACGGUCCCGACUCCUACGGGGGGCAGCAGUGAGGAAUAUUGGGCAAUGGGCGGAAGCCUGACCCAGCAACGCCGCGUGGAGGAAGACGGCCUUCGGGUUGUAAACUCCUUUUACGGGGGAAGAGGAAGGACCGGUACCCCCGAGAAUAAGUCACGGCUAACUACGUGCCAGCAGCCGCGGUAAUACGUAGGGUGACAAGCGUUAUCCGGAAUUACUGGGCGUAAAGCGCCACGCAGGCGGCGCAUUAAGUCUGAUGUGAAAUCUCCCGGCUUAACUGGGAGGGGUCAUUGGAAACUGAUGUGCUUGAGCCGGUGAGAGGGGUGUAGAUUCCCGGUGUAGUGGUGGAUGCGUAGAUAUCGGGAGGAUACCAGUGGCGAAACGGCACACUGGCACUAGCCUGACGCUCAUGUGCGAAGGCGUGGGGAGCGAACGGGAUUUAGAUUACCCCCGGUUAGUCCCACGCGGUAAACGAUGAGUACUAGGUGUAGGUGGAGUGAAAUCCAUCUGUGCCGAAGCGAACGCGCUAAGUACUCCGCCUGGGAGUACGCCGCAAGGCUAAAUCAAAGGAAUGACGGGCCCGCACAACACGGAGCGUGUGUUAAUCGAGCACACGAGACUUACUGGUUGACAUUGCUAUAUGAUGAAGGAUAUAUCGAGCCAACGUCUUUAGCUGUCUCA